rnacentral:rRNA from 1 species
GAGUUUGAUCAUGGCUCAGAUUGAACGCUGGCGGCAGGCUUAACACAUGCAAGUCGAGCGGUAGCACAGGGGAGCUUGCUCCCUGGGUGACGAGCGGCGGACGGGUGAGUAAUGUCUGGGAAACUGCCUGAUGGAGGGGGAUAACUACUGGAAACGGUAGCUAAUACCGCAUAACGUCGCAAGACCAAAGAGGGGGACCUUCGGGCCUCUUGCCAUCAGAUGUGCCCAGAUGGGAUUAGCUAGUAGGUGGGGUAAUGGCUCACCUAGGCGACGAUCCCUAGCUGGUCUGAGAGGAUGACCAGCCACACUGGAACUGAGACACGGUCCAGACUCCUACGGGAGGCAGCAGUGGGGAAUAUUGCACAAUGGGCGCAAGCCUGAUGCAGCCAUGCCGCGUGUGUGAAGAAGGCCUUCGGGUUGUAAAGCACUUUCAGCGAGGAGGAAGGUGGUGAGCUUAAUACGCUCAUCAAUUGACGUUACUCGCAGAAGAAGCACCGGCUAACUCCGUGCCAGCAGCCGCGGUAAUACGGAGGGUGCAAGCGUUAAUCGGAAUUACUGGGCGUAAAGCGCACGCAGGCGGUUUGUUAAGUCAGAUGUGAAAUCCCCGGGCUCAACCUGGGAACUGCAUUUGAAACUGGCAAGCUAGAGUCUCGUAGAGGGGGGUAGAAUUCCAGGUGUAGCGGUGAAAUGCGUAGAGAUCUGGAGGAAUACCGGUGGCGAAGGCGGCCCCCUGGACGAAGACUGACGCUCAGGUGCGAAAGCGUGGGGAGCAAACAGGAUUAGAUACCCUGGUAGUCCACGCUGUAAACGAUGUCGAUUUGGAGGUUGUGCCCUUGAGGCGUGGCUUCCGGAGCUAACGCGUUAAAUCGACCGCCUGGGGAGUACGGCCGCAAGGUUAAAACUCAAAUGAAUUGACGGGGGCCCGCACAAGCGGUGGAGCAUGUGGUUUAAUUCGAUGCAACGCGAAGAACCUUACCUACUCUUGACAUCCAGAGAACUUUCCAGAGAUGGAUUGGUGCCUUCGGGAACUCUGAGACAGGUGCUGCAUGGCUGUCGUCAGCUCGUGUUGUGAAAUGUUGGGUUAAGUCCCGCAACGAGCGCAACCCUUAUCCUUUGUUGCCAGCGGUUCGGCCGGGAACUCAAAGGAGACUGCCAGUGAUAAACUGGAGGAAGGUGGGGAUGACGUCAAGUCAUUAUGGCCCUUACGAGUAGGGCUACACACGUGCUACAAUGGCGUAUACAAAGAGAAGCGACCUCGCGAGAGCAAGCGGACCUCAUAAAGUACGUCGUAGUCCGGAUUGGAGUCUGCAACUCGACUCCAUGAAGUCGGAAUCGCUAGUAAUCGUAGAUCAGAAUGCUACGGUGAAUACGU